UUAUGGGAGGCUGGGGGUUGUUA
rnacentral:piRNA from 1 species